UUGGGAAAGCUGCACCCGGAGCCACGGGGAGGGGAGAUGAAAGGCGGGUGGCGGGCGUGGGCCGCCUGCAGCGCCAGGUGAGAGCUGGAAGCCCCACCCCGCGCCUGGGGACCAGCUGGCAUACUCCUGGCAGGACCCAUCGGGAGUAGAAAUUCGAGAAGGGAACCAGCCCUGAGUGAGCACCACGUGCACGCAUCCUGAAUGACUAGAGCUCAACAGCCUGACCAGAGCGGCUCACGGGAGGCAAGCCCACGCCCACUGCCCUCAGACAGAAACGCACAGCAAGGUCUGAAUCUACCUUAAAACAUCAGACGUGGUUUUGGAGUCAAGAGGAUGUGGAACCCGCUGAGAAUUCCUGGCAGGGAGAAGUUCGUCUGUCUGUGCUACAGAAAUGUGGUGAUGCAGCGAAGCCUGGUGAAAGAACAAAGACAGUUACCUUCCUGGUCUAGUCAACCAUGGGGCAGAAAUAAGGCCACGUCUACCAGAAGGAGAUGCUCUCUAAAGUCCUUUGUAGUCAGGGCUUCUAUUCUAAGUCCAUGAAUUUAAGCUGCUCAGUAACCCCAAUGUGAUCCCAAAUAACUCCAUAUCCUAGAGUAGAGGAGAAAAAAAAGCUAGCUUUGCAAAUGGACUGCAAAUAAUUAAAUAGCGUCCCUCUUCAGGUUUUCAUCUGUAGAAGGCUCCACAGUCGGGAUGUGGCUGACUGUGUCGUGGUGGUGGUCUUCGAUCCUGAUCCCCGUACUUCAUAACCGGCGCUGUGCCCUUCUUACAGUAUCACAUCCAAAGGCACCUGAUGUCUGCUGUCAUCAGCAGUAAUAUGACAGAUCCCUGGAUCCAGCAGGUACCAGCACGGUCCAUCUACUAUAAAGUUCCCCAUCAAUUUUUAAUGUAAUAGUUUUAGUAUAGUUUUACUUUAUUAAUUGUAAAAUAUAAGAAGAGGCAAUAUAAAUGCUUGAUUCUCCUUACUUUUUGAUUUUCUGAUUAAUGAGCUGCUGCUCUGGCACCUUCAAAAGGUGACGUAUAAAUGUUUUGUUUUUCAGCACAACUAUGAACCCAUAGAUUGAUAUCAAUCUACUGCCACCAUUGUUCAUUUUAAUGACUAAAUGAUCCCAUCCCUGGGCAAUGGGAACCCCUCCAAGUUGGCUACUGGGUCCUUUGAUAAGACUCUAAUAAUCUUUGGUAGCUUCCUUGCUUUUAGGCGUGACAAGAUGUCUCAGGUACACCUUGAAUACUUCUUACUUUAGCCCUGGAAUCAGUCAUUUCCUCAAAGAAAGAACUCUGGUUCUUUUGAAUGAUAAACAGUAUUGAGAAACCAUAAUUGUGUCAAUAAAGGUGUUUAUUGCUGCUAGGCUAUCAUGGCUCCUAAGCCUUUUCAGUAAACAGAGCUAAAGAAUGUGUACACUUUUUAGAGAGAGAGGAAAAGAUAAAUAAAUCUAGGUUCAGACUAGUAAUUCUAAUUGAGAGAUUGC